AAACGGCCGCGUUAGCGUGAGCGUGCUAAGGUAGCGUAAUAAAUAGCCUCUUAAUUCGAGGCCAGUGAAUGGCAAGACUAGGGCAUCUGUGCCCUGUAUAGAAAAAUAACUUUUCAUCUGAGUGAAAAGACCCAGAUAAUAAAGGAAGACGAAAAGACCCCGCGGAACUUUACCUUUUCCAGUCUCCACAUGCUCAAAAACACAAAAACAAAAGGUUUGAUUGGGGCAAUCUCGGAACCACCCAAACUUCCGACCUAUCACCAAAAUAUGUAUAUAUAACUUGAUACGGACCAAAAAGAAGUUACCCCGGGGAUAACAGCGUAAUCCAACUUGAGAGUACACAUCGAAAGUUGGGUUUGCGACCUCGAUGUUGGCUUAAGGACAUCCACAUAAGUGCAAC
rnacentral:rRNA from 1 species